AGCUAAUCUUUUGGUCUAGUGUGUAUUCUAGCCCUUCUACUAAAGUGUAAGUGCAUAAUUAUCAUAACUCUUGGAAUUUUCCAAAAUCGUAUGGCACGCCGAAAUCAUACUCCAUGCUGUGUCAAAUAACCACAUUCAUUCCUUUCACCAAUCGAUUGUGGUGGAACGCCAAAAAAAUUUGUACGGGUCCAUAUGAUUAAAAACAUGCAUAAAAAGGAAUCAUUUAGAAGUGUGCCUGAAAAGUAACGUGCAAGCUAUAGAACUUAGUUACGAAUAAGGGAAAUCCUAAGUGCUAAAAUGUAAAAUGACCAAAGAGAUAAGGUUAUCCUGCCAUGCUCUCUCUGCUCUUGUGCGGCACACCAUUUAGAUAGCGUUGGCUCGCCGCAGAGACAUCGCCGGCUCGCCACCGUGAGUUAUAGAGGUGGCGGGAGCAGCGAAGGGGCCGAGCGCUGCCGUGUGUCGUGCGACAGCCACACCGUAGGUAGCCACUCACGGCAACUACGCGCACGCACGCACCGGCCGCCGUCGCGCCGCGAGCUUCGCCUGUCCGCGCACUGCCGCAACCACACGUGAGUUCUUCCAACACGCACCGCCCAUGGUCGACCUGUGAGCCACACAUGCACCGCCGCGAAGCGCUGCUUGAUCCCCUCCAUGGACUCGUGCUCGCCGUCGCAGUCCGUCGCCCUAGCCGCGGAGAGGGCCAAGAUCCGUGGAGCUGCUCGUGGAGUGAGUAUAUCGUCCCCGUGCAUGUCUGGUGGGGUAUCGUUUGGUUGGGGCGUUGGGCGGCAGGGAUGGCGAAUUCCUCCUCAGGUGUCGGCGUGUCGCAGUUCCGUUCCUUUGCUUCACUCACUGUUUCUGGUCGUCGUGUGUUUCCUUGGUUUGUUAUGCCUGAAUUGAGCUUCUCUGCAGAAUAAUGAGGUUGAUGCUAACAUGUACUACUUCAGUACUUUACUUGUUUCUUAGUAAGAAUAGUGAUUAAAUUCUUGUAAUUCGAGGCAGCCCUAGCUACUUGAAAAAUGUAACUUUUAUUAGUAUUGCUGUCUAGCUUGAUGGAUUGGUGCAUUUGUUGUGCCUGACAGAAAAUUUCUAAUUUUGGUAGUUUGGUCGAUACAUUAUCUUUCCCUUUUGGAUGUUCGUGAAUUCCGACAUGUCCAAUGGGGAAACAAAUGCUCAAUUUAGUUACCUUACCUCAAAUUCAGUUUUACCUGUUCAAUUAUCACAUUGUGUUUUAUCUUCAAUUUCUCACAGUUAUGCGACCCUGGCUGUAGUUUGCUGAAGCUUGUUGCAGGAGGGCAUGGAAAAAACUAACUCUUCCCCCUCCCCCUCCCGAGUCGCCCCCCGCGUGGGCGGCCGGGAGGCCCCCAGAUCCCGUCAGCCGGCCCUCCCCCACUCCUCCUCCUCCCUCGCCGCCGCCCAAGGGCGCGGCCAGGCGAAGCCUGGUCGUUGCCGGCGGCGGCGGGGACUCGGGCCCUCUCGCUUGCAUGGGGCUGGCGCGGGCCGGCGCCCCCGGGCCGGAGCGUGGCGGCGGGCCGGACGCCACGGCGGGUGGUGGCGGCGCCUCGGCGACUUCGCUCCCCCGCGGCAGGAGGCCUCGCGAACUGGUGCGUCGCGGCCGCCAGGGACGGCAGCAGCGUGACCGGAUCGGGUUGCGGCGGCGCGGCCGGAUCUAUGCCCAAGCGUGGGCCUUGAUCGCUGGUCUGCCGUCGGCACGGUGGCGGGUGCGACUCGUCGGCAGCUGGGCAGAUCCGUUCUACCCUUGUCUGGUUCUUGACAGCGCGGGCAUCUCCGGGGGAAACCCUAGAUCUCCUUGGGAUUGAGCGAUGACGGCGAUGUUGCGUCGUAGUCCCUCUUUAGGGCAUCGUUUUGGAGUUUACUCCGGUUGAAGGGACCAGCGACGUCGGUGGCGCACGUCUGGUGGAGCAACUGCCGAUGAAAAUCGCGCCGACUACGGUCAUGUCCCUUGUCGAGGCAUCGUCGUUGCAGUCUGCGUCAUCAGGCUCGGGAUGCUCCGGGGGAAACCCUAGAUCUGGGUCUUCCGGAUCGGACGAUGAUGGCGUUUUAUCGCUUUUCCUCCUGGGGGCAUCGUUUUGGAGCAAGUGAUGGCUAAGGGGAUGGUGGAGCGGUACUUCAUCUCACACAUUGAUGGCGGCGGAGAUCGGCGGCAUGGAGCUGUGGAGGCUCGGCGUCCGAUGCGCGGAGAUGGACUCGCGCAGGAGGAGGUAGCUGUCUGGCGUCAUGGUGACGUCGAUGGCAGAGUGGCCAGACAAGAUAGAAGCUUCAAUAUGAUCUAAAGACGGACCUGUGGAAGAUGGCGGCGACGACACACGAGUGCGUCUGACCGGAUUGUGCCCCAGACCCGGUAUGUGGCUUGGCUGGGGCUUCCGGCUUUUGAUGUUAGGCUUAGGUGAGUGGUUUGGGUAGUGGCCCAGCUAGCAUCCCUUCAUCAUAUGGAUAGGAGUAGCGGCAUAUGUUGCCAAGAUGGUGGAUUCAGGGUGGUGCAGCUCCUAUGUUUCUAGAAAUAAAACUUAUGAUUAUAUAUUAUCAUCUAAGGUGAAAUGUUGAAAGGGCUCUUGGAUUGUUUGCCUCGCUUAGGGUGGUGCGGUCUUAUAUUUCAAGAAAUAAAAUCUCAUGGUCAUAUGCUAUCAGUUAAGGUGAAUCCAUGAAAGGCCGCCUGAAUUGUAUGCCUUGCUCAGGUUGUCCAGCAGGUUCACUGAACUCUGCAUCAGCAAAAUGUAUCUGAAACCCACACCCCGAUUAGUUCCAACUGCGACGGGCGGCGGGCGGCGCAGUGCUCCGUUGCGUCCUGAGCAGGGGCGUGCCGCCGGCUAGCAUCGGUCUCCGGAGGACGUGCACGAACGCGCCCGCGACGGUGCUGGCCGUGCUGGGAUCGGGAACCUCCUCAAUGAUGCCGCAUUAAUUGCGCCAAGUAGAAACCGGAUUCACGGCCUCUACCAGUAUCUCCGGAGUCGUUAUAAUCACCUGCCUUUUCUGGCUAAUCACGGCCUCAAGUACUGUUUUAAACCGCAACUAGCAGCCUACAGCAUCAUCUGUUUGGCGCCAAGGCAGACUGAUGCAAGAUUACGGAGCUUAAUAAGCCUAGUGCCUACUGCCUAGGCACUAGGUAGCACUCAUGGCGGCCGCCGCGUUCGGGAGAGACGGACGAAUCCGCCUCCGCCUCCGCCUCCGGCGGACAGAAGCCUGCGUCGCGUACUCUACCUAUAUAUACCGGCCGCUUCGCCGGAGAGCUCCAUCCAGCCAGCCAAGCCAAGCCAAGCCAAGCGGGUCUGAUCGGAGGAGCAGAGGAAGAAGCAAAGCACGCGCACCGCCGGUCUGCAGCCACGAUGGCCCGCCGCAAGGUCCCCAUGAGGCUCAUCGAAAAGGCGCGGGCGCGCGCCGAGACGCACGCCAGGAGGACCAAGGGGCUGCAGAAGAAGGCGUCCGAGCUCGCCACGCUCUGCGCGGUCCCGGUCGCGCUCGUCUGCGCCGCAGGCGCGGGGGCUCCGCCGCUCGUGUGGGAGUCGGAGGAGGGAGUGCUCGAGAGGUACCGUCGCGCCGUCCCGGCGGAGACCCGCGCGCGGCACACGCACCGGAGCUACAUGGAGACGGAGCUGGGCAAGGAGAGGGCCAAGCUCGCCCGGACACGGCACGGCUGCCCCGGCGCGCUCGCGGACUGGGACGCUGCGCUCAACGACAUGACGCUGGAGGAGGCGCGCGGGCUGCUCGAGACCAUCGACGCGGCGCUGCAAGCCACGGGAGACAGGAUGGAGGCGCUGGGCAUACCUGCCGACGGCGGCCACGGCCCGCUCGAGGGUUCUUCCCACGAAGCCCUCAUGCCGCAGCAGCUUGGGCAGGGUGGCGGCAACCACAUGGAGGCCGCCGGCUUCCAGCAGCUGCAGAUGGUGCCGUUCCACGCUGGGAGCAACGAGGGCCUACUCGAGCAAUUCUCAUGGGACGAUCCCUUCCGGACGCAGUCAGGGUGCGUCGGCGGCAACUACUCGGGCGGCGGCGACGCGAUGCUCUCGCAAGGCCACGCCAAUGCCGGCUACAAUUACUCGGCCGGCGGUGACGAGAUGCUCACGCUAGGCCUCGCCAAUGUUGACAACAGCUACUCGGGCGGCGGCGACAAGAUGCUCGCGUCGGGCUUCGCCAAUUCUGACUACAACUACUCGGCCGGCGGCGACGAGAUGCUCACGCUAGGCCUCGCCAAUGCUGACUACAACUACUCGGCCGGCGGCCACAAGAUGCUCCCGUCGGGCUUCGCCAAUGCUGACUACAACUACUCGGGCAGUGGCGACGAGAUGCUCACGCCCGGCUUUGGCAAUGCUGACUACAACUGGGCUGAUCUGACCAUGUGGGCCACCGAUGAGUUGUGCGAUGCAGUCAUGCCACUUGGGUGCUACCCUGACUUCGCCGACGGUACUCUGCCGCCCGAUUACUACGCUCGGGUCGUCACUGAAUGGGGACUACGUCAACACACCACCAUCUGGCGGGUACGGGUACACCAUGGCCAUGGGCGUGGGCGACAACUUCACUCAUCUCGACAGCAACUACAUGGCGCACUGGCAUUCGACACAAGUAGUCUGUUGCUAGGCGAAAUGCAGUCGUAGUUUUCGAGCUAGAAUAUUUUAAUUCUCACACAUGUGAAGUUAGAAUUUUGCAGAAUUAUAUGAUUUAUCAAUAUUACGUGCAUGAUUUUGUACGGAAAUUUUGAAACAUUAACCAUCAGUUAUGGAAUUUUCACGAAAAGAGUA